rnacentral:misc_RNA from 1 species
GAUGAGAACGUAGCGAAAUGCGAUACUUGGUGUGAAUUGCAGAAUCCCGUGAACCAUCGAGUUUUUGAACGCAAGUUGCGCCCGAAGCCUUUUGGCCGAGGGCACGUCUGCCUGGGCGUCACGCAUCGCGUCGCCCCCCACAAUUCUCCGUAAAAGGAACAUGUGUUUUGGGGGCGGAUAUUGGUCUCCCGUGCUCAUGGCGUGGUUGGCCGAAAUAGGAGUCCUUUCGAUGGACGCACGAACUAGUGGUGGUCGUAAAAACCCUCGUCUUUUGUUUCGUGCUGUUGCUCGCAAGGUAAACUCUUUAAAAACCCCAAUGUGUCGUCUCUUGACGACGCUUCGACCGCGACCCCAGGUCAGGCGGGACUACCCGCUGAGUUUAAGCAUAUCAAUAAGCGGAGGA